UAUGAAUAACAUUCCACCAUGAGGUCACUAGGUAAUAAUGAUACAAUAUGAAUAACAUUCCACCAUGAGGUCACUAGGUAAUAAUGAUACAAUAUGAAUAACAUUCCACCAUGAGGUCACUAGGUAAUAAUGAUACAAUAUGAAUAACAUUCCACCAUGAGGUCACUAGGUAAUAAUGAUACAAUAUGAAUAACAUUCCACCAUGAGGUCACUAGGUAAUAAUGAUACAAUAUGAAUAACAUUCCACCAUGAGGUCACUAGGUAAUAAUGAUACAAUAUGAAUAACAUUCCACCAUGAG